rnacentral:sRNA from 12 species
ACAACAAGUUAUCGGUGACAAAUUCCCGUGAGGAAAAGUCUGGUUUGUGCUAGGCUAGCCGAAUAACUGACC